AAUAUUAAUACGCAAUUUCCUGUGUAAGAGCAUACUGCUUGUGUUGAUCUUCACUUCAUAAUUUCCAGACUGAUCUCUUCGGAUGUUUGUGAUGGCGAGGUCUCCAGUUUGAUCAUUGCGGUGAAUGUUACUCCAUUUCGCGUCAACGUGGCCGGUUAAGUCUUGAUCUCCAGACUUCCACAGUAUCUGAUCAUCUCUCGGUGUUGGAGUAACACCAGUGUGUAGAGUGACAGUAUCUCCCUCAGUCACUGAAACUGACUUCACUCCAUCUGUACCAACAAAAAACACAUCUGGAGAACACACGGAAAUGGUUUAAUCUUAUGCUGCAAGUCACUUUCA